AUCGACUCUUUUGUGUUCGAAACUUCAUCACUAUUGCGCAUGUUUCCUCAAAGCAUCACACUCAGCACGUAGAAGACACCAGUCCACGCGGGAAUACUGAGGCCUCUUUUAUCUCCUCUUCCAGUUGAGCUGUUUGGCCACUGGACCAAACACUUUGGAGGCUACACGCCAAAUGGUUUUUUUCAGAGUUUGUCCUCCUCUGAUGGAUAACCUCUUCAUCUUAAAAAUAAAAGCUAAUUGCCUUUCCAGUUGUUCAAGGUCCUCCAUUGUUUCAAUAGGAAAGGUGUCAUCCUCAGUGUCCACCACCAUUUGACCACUUGACCGAGGGGCAAGGGACUGGACCACUGAAGUUAGAUGGGUAAUCUUCAUGUCCAGCUCAUUAAGCUUCUCCAAAAUUGCCCUCUCCACAGCUGCAACACACUCGAUGGGUGGUCCCCCCAAGCAUCUUCUUGCUCAUUUACAUGGGACAUGCUUAUUGGAAAAACUGGUGCUGAGAAAAAGGUCAAGUUGCUAAAUGAAAUGUGACCGUAAUUACCUGAAGUGAGACAUACAACUUACGUGGUGCUCUGUCUUGUAAAGGCCGCAGCACAGAAAAUGUGUCCUCUGUUGGAUUGUACAGAAAAUGUUGAGUUACCUAGUGUUGGGGUUUAUCCCAAGUGUCUUGGUGCUCCACUUCCUGGCAGAACCUCACAGGCAUUUCAGAUUCCGAGAUGUCAGAUGUGUAGCAUGCCUGUUUCCAUUUCUUUGAAAUCUUGUCAAAAGAUGCUGAAAGAAAUAAAAAUUCUGGCCUGAUGCUUGGUCCAACCUUUAUCUGGUUGUGGUGCCUCCAUCAACCGGACACUCUUCAACACCCUGUCUAUCUCCUUGUAUGGAGGCCACCACGAGUGACCCUCUGAGUACCAAGACUUUGCGACAGGUCCGGUACUCCCUUCGUGAAUGAACUCCACUAUCAGUCAUCAUUGAGGGGACUUGAACUAGUCAGAUUGACUCGUUUAUGAAGCACUUGCCAGGAUGAUACUGCAUUCAGUCUCAUUAACAUGGGACAAACAGUCCAAGAAGUCAGUGCCGUCUUCAACAGUGCUGCUUGUCAAUGCCACCAUACUGUUCCCUCAAUAGUGAUGCUUAUAACACAUGCAUUGAUUAAAGCUGUUUGUCCACCUUGG